AACGUAGGAGACAAACGUUAUCCGGAGUUACUGGGCGUAAAGGGCGUGUAGGUGGUAAUGUAAGUCUGGCGUGAAAUUUUUCGGCUUAACCGGGAAAGGUCGUCGGAUACUGCAUGACUAGAGGACGGUAGAGGCGUGUGGAAUUCCGGGUGUAGUGGUGAAAUGCGUAGAGAUCCGGAGGAACACCAGUGGCGAAGGCGGCUCUC
rnacentral:rRNA from 1 species